rnacentral:lncRNA from 1 species
UUCAGAUACACCCUGGAUUAUAUAUAAGAUGCUAAAUUGAAGUCUUGAUGUCCUCCAGCUUCCAUUUACUAGACCAGGGGCAGUGGCCAGGAAUGAACCCUAUGGAGCAUCAUCCUUGGAACCAGGUCACUUGAUGAACACAGUCUGUAGCUUCAAUGACUGGCUUAAGAAACAACUCUGCAAGGAACAUCUGGAGGACAUAUGGAGAAACAGAUACUGCUAUAAUCAAAAUUACUUUUGGCCUCUGAGUUCAACUAUUUGGCUUGACUUGGCUUGGCUUGGCAUGGCUUGAGAACCAAGCUCCCUCUUCUGGCUACCGAGUCUUUCCUGCCCAGGGCUUCGUGAAACAGUCCUCAAGGCUCCAAACAAAUCCAGCUCAUUGUCAGAGUUAGGUUUUGAGGGUCUGGCCCCGGAAACAUUUUGGUCAGGAAGGGAGCCCACAUGACUGAUGGAUGACUUUAUAUCUCACUAUCUGACCAUGGAUGUUUGGUUGAUAUUCAAAAAAGCUUCUUCUGAUGCUUCUGGAAUAUUGUAAUCGUAACCAUCUUUAAAAGCUGUUUCUUUAGAGGUGACAUCUUUGCAGGUCCUUAUCCUCCCUAAGCUGGUCUAGCCUUAGCUAAUGCUUCUUAUGAAAAUUCAUCUGAAUUGAGUGAUGGAGCUUGGCUUAAGCUAGUAUCCGGCCUGAAGAACUGUUAAACUUUUCCUGGUUAAACUUCUCUUACAUUGGUCUAUAGUUGAAGGUGGUAGAUGACACACGAACUCUUUCAUUGUCUCCUUCCAUCCGUGUGGAUGUGGCUGGAGUUAAGCCUCAGGUGACACAGACUCUUCAAACUUUGAGUCCAGUUGAUGAUCUGAGGAAUCAAAGACAACUUAAGUGAUACAGAGGUCUGAGAAGCACCAAUGACCUAAAAUUUCAGUCAUCCUUCAAGGGGAAGUACACACUAUACUGUUUGGAAGUUGUGGUCAUGUCAUCUUUCAUGAUUGGGCAAGCCUGCUUUUGUACACAAAAGAAAUGUAGGCCCAGUAAAGUUAAGUUCAAGUUCUGAGGAAGGGCCCUCACUAGAAGCUCAGAAACCUGAGAGAACACACCCUGUAGUGACUUCAAAGACUUUCUUGCUGGACUUUGGUUUUCUGGGAGCCAAGGCAUUCAUAGGAUUCUGGCCAACAAAAGAAGUUGGUCUCAGAAUCUCAGACUUUCAUUCCUGGUGAAUUUCCACACAAAGCAUCAGAACCAUGUUUUCAUUUUAAUUAGAAGAGUGAUUCAUGACCUCAAGGAAAUAAAACACUUGAAAUAAAACACAGAAGAC